GAAAGUUCUUCAGUUCAUCACAAGACUGAGCUCUAGGAGCUCAACUGGGUCAGCUAUUAUUAACUGCUUCCCAACCUGGAUGCGUACAUUGCUACCAACAGAGUCUGAGUUGUCUUUGCAGGAUUUAGAUGCUGCGGUAUUCUUACGGAUUACUCAAAACACCUUUGGAAAAGACCAUAUCUUGCAGGAGGUCAUCUAUGUGGAUCUGAAUUUGAGAGGGGCCAAUGUGCUGCACUGGAUCCAGCUGAGAAAAUCACAACCUGAAACUAGCAGAGAGACCUUUGAAACCACACCUGAGGGCAAAAAUAAAUGAAACUGAAUGCAGACUGCAUGAAUGAAAACAAACUGUCCUCAUUCACUAAUCUCUCCAGGAAGGAGACAGACUUUUGUUCCAAGUUUCUUCUGUAGCAAAUAUUUGUGGACAAUCACUGGGGAUAAAGAAAGCCAUAAUGGGAACCACCCGGAUGUAACUGUAUAUGAGAAGUUAUUUCAUUUCCUAGGCUUGGCAAGAAAGAUGUGCUUCUGUGAGGACAUCCAACUUGGGUCAUUAAUAGAAAAGCACCUAGGAUCUUCUCCAUUAAAACAGAAAUCCAGCUUCUACCACUGCAGCUAAAAAAAGAAAUUCAUAACUUGCACGGUUUCACUGCAUGUGGAUAUCCCCCCUCUCCAUCAAACAUAGUAAGAAUGGCAGUCAGGGAAAACUGGAUAGAUUUUUAUCGAUCUUGAUGGCUAAACCACUGGGAUGUGUUUGCUCACAG